ACACGCAUGACACACUGCAUAUCAAUAAGCGGAGGAAAAGAAACUAACAAGGAUUCCCUUAGUAACGGCGAGUGAAGCGGGAAGAGCUCAAAUUUGAAAUCUUCAAGGUUUUACCUUGACGAAUUGUAGUUUAAAGAAGUGUUUUCUGUUGAAGUUUUGGUAAAAGUUCUUUGGAAUAGGACAUCAUAGAGGGUGAGAAUCCCGUAUUUGACCAUUAUUUUCAGCUGUGUGAUACACUUUCAAAGAGUCGGAUUGUUUGGGAAUGCAGUCCAAAAUGGGUGGUAAAUUUCAUCUAAAGCUAAAUAUUGGCGAGAGACCGAUAGCGAACAAGUACCGUGAGGGAAAGAUGAAAAGAACUUUGAAAAGAGAGUUAAACAGUACGUGAAAUUGUCGAAAGGGAAGCGUUUGACACCAGUGUUGUUUUCUCGAAAAUCAAUUAAAAAUGGCCGGAUUUUGUGUUGUAUUGACUUUAUCAGCUUUCUGCACUUUUUUCUUAUCUUUUUUAAUGCACUUUUCGUUUAACAAGUCAACAUCAAUUUCUUUUGUUGUAAAAGAGUCAUUGGAAGGUGGCUUUUUCUUCGGAAAAAGUGUUUAUAGCCUUUGGCUUCUGCAAUCGGAGAGAUUGAGGUCUGCAGCGUAGAUCCUUCGGGGUUAGAUACAUUUGUGCUAAGCUAUAGUUCUUUAUAGACAACUUGUUGACUAUAAUCAAUCCUGUAACUUACUCGCUUAUGCUAUUUUACCUACGCUUAGGAUGUUGAGCGCAUGUCUCUCUCU
rnacentral:rRNA from 1 species